rnacentral:lncRNA from 1 species
UUUCCUUAAGUCGGCGCUCGUGCUCGGCUUGGGUCUCAGCAUUAUGGAGGGAGAUAGUGAGAUCUUGUAUCUUAGCCUCCAAUAUCUCUCUAACCUCUUUUUUCUCUUCUGUGGCUCGUAGCCACCACCGCUUAUUCUUUAGGCAUUCUUUCUCAACUUGUCUCAACUGCUCUUUAAUGGUUUCUAGGCAGUGGUCAGCUUGCUCCAUGCCUAUUUUCACUUUCUUUCUCUUAUGUUCUUCUUUGUCGACCUUU